rnacentral:tRNA from 1 species
GCCUGGGUGGCUCAGUCAGUUAAGCAUCUGACUUCGGCUCAGGUCAUGAUCUCAUGGUUUAUGAGAUCGAGUCUCGUAUCGGGCU